GAGUCGCUUCAGCACUCUGCAGCUGGGUGCAGUGCCUCGCGUGUGAAAGGGCCCUUAUUAGCUGGAUAUAUUGCCUCACAGGAGUGUAUGAGUUUAUGGACAAUGCUGUUACACACGCGUGGAGAUCACAACGCAGUAUAGCCGGAGGACGUGCACGGGCAGAUUAUCACCAUCUUUCUAACUUUGAGAAAGGUCCAAUCAUCAGCAUGAGGGACAUGGAAACAUCACACAGAUAUGAGCUCAGGACGACACAGCGAUAAGAAGAGUAGCUGUUGCCCUGUUGGUACUUGCUGCAAAGGAUUACGAGGAAACAGAUGCUGAGGAUAAUGAAGAGGAUACAAAUGUCGGUGACGAAGAAGAUGAAGAAGGAAAUGAAGAACAAGAAGGCCUAUAAAACUUUCC